AUUCUGCACUCAAAAUACAGAUUCUAUUAUUUGUCUUAAAUUUCAAUGAUACAAAAUUUGCCCGUCCCCCUAAUUGUUCCUCUGUGUUAUCAUUGGUAUUUAUUAAAGGGGAUUAUCUACAUUUUUAAAGCAAAGUUAAUCGACGCUUAAUAACUCCGUCCAAUACUUGGUACUCCCUCUAACAAACUUAUAUUGACAAGCUCUAACUUAAUUGGAUUUGUUGCCAUGAGUUCAAAAAACACGAAUGAACGACGAACGGAAACUUUUCAGAAAAUGAACGAGAGAACGGAAAAAGGGUGAAUGGGUCUAAACCUAAUUAUUAAUUGCAAUUAAUAUCCGAGGAGGAAAUAAAAAUUUUAUCAGCUCCAUACAAACUUAAGUUAUUGAGAGUUCUUGACUUUUCAAUAUAAAUAAAUUAAUCAUUUAGAAUGUUUACCUCUGACAUACAUUAUAUAUAAAGCAGUGUGCGCCCUAAAUACAGGCAUAGGCCAUGACCAAGGUGAAGGAGAUGAAAAUAAAAAAAAAUAUGGAUAAUCUUUUUUCUAAAGUUUGAGAAGCAUUUGUGUAAAAAAUUAAUGCAUAGUUGGGUACUAUGUAUUAUGAAAAAGAAACAAUCUUAGACCUUGGCCUCAUAGUAUGUAGGCAUUAUAUCAAUGUAAUGAAUAAAUAAAUCUAAUGUAAAUACCUAAAACAUAAUCAACACACGAGUAAUCAAAGUCAUUUCCGGAGAUGGAUUGAAUGGAAUAUUAUUAUGUGAGUAGUCACAUCGACGUUUAUCAGCUACAAGGACAUAGAACAUCAUAAAAUAGCACAAUAGGUAUGAUGAAUUUAUCAUUUAUGGAAAAUUCAUCUGGGACCAUCCUUCCCAGGCAAACAUCCCUACGCCAUUUCUACAGCAUACAAGGGAUUUCAACUCUCCUCUCCUUUCUCAUCUCCUUCAUUCUCUUGUUCGGAUUUGGUAUCAACUUUUCCUAUUAUAGAGGAACGUAUCGUAAUAACCUAUUUGCAACAGAGUCCAUGAUUAUUAUUGUAUGUUUCUCCUCGGCUAUUCAAGAUCUUGUUAUACUUUUGACACUGGGUUUUUACGUAAUAUACAUACAUUAGAAUAUAUCGUGGGCUUUGAGUAAUACAAAGUGUAAAAGAGGCGCAAUAUCAACGUUUAAAAUUUAUUUAAUUAUAAGUCAUAUUUAUGUAGUGGUUACUUUAAUUUAUGUAUGCAGCGUAGAAUUUAUAAACAGUACCUUAGUGUAUUGAUUCAAAUAAUGUGGCUAAAUAUGCAUUAUAAUAGUAGAGUAAUGCACAUCAAAGUAUCAUUGAAUUCUCUCAAUUUUGCUAUUGGCCUACAAUGAUUUUAAUCUAAUGUAUAUAUGUUUAUUUUUUAUCACUUCCCCACUAUAGAAAGACUACAACUUUUUAAUUCAUGGACAUAACGCAGUCUCUUGGAGCCUUUCAAGCGUACUACAUCUGAUUGCUGGUUUGUCCUUGGUUAUACAAUUAUCUCAGACCUGCUACUUCACAUCUUUUUGUACCAUGAAAAUCAUUGGAGGAAUAUUCGAGGUACUUUUAGGUGGAAUUUACGUCAUGAAGACAUACUUAAUUCUUAGAAAGGAUGAUAGCUUUGAUUAAACAACGAAAUAUGAAUGAACACUUUAAAUAGAUUAUUUAUAUAUAUAAAUUGUAUAUAUAAAAUACAUAUUUAUUGUAAGCAUACAAAAUUAGACUUUAGUGUACAUAUCAUAUAUAUAUAUUCAACACUGAAUACAGAUACACAUUAUGAUAAUAAUAAUAUAACAGCAAAGUUUAAAUACA
rnacentral:misc_RNA from 1 species